rnacentral:tRNA from 1 species
GUCCUUGUAGCUCAGUAGGAUAGAGCAAUCGCCUCCUAAGCGAUAGGUCGCAGGUUCAAAUCCUGCCAAGGACG